rnacentral:rRNA from 1 species
UACGAAGGUCCCAAGCGUUGUUCGGAAUCACUGGGCGUAAAGGGAGCGUAGGCGGCGUGGUAAGUCAGAUGUGAAAUCCCGGGGCUCAACCCCGGAACUGCGUCCGAUACUGCCAUGCUAGAGGAUUGGAGAGGUAGCUGGAAUUCUUGGUGUAGCAGUGAAAUGCGUAGAGAUCAAGAGGAACACUCGUGGCGAAAGCGAGCUACUGGACAAUUCCUGACGCUGAGGCUCGAAGGCUAGGGUAGCGAAAGGG